rnacentral:rRNA from 1 species
UACGUAGGGGGCAAGCGUUGUCCGGAAUUAUUGGGCGUAAAGCGCGCGCAGGCGGCUUUGUAAGUUUGGUGUUUAAUCUCAGAGCUCAACUCUGGUUCGCAUCGAAAAACUGCAAGGCUUGAGUACAGAAGAGGAAAGUGGAAUUCCACGUGUAGCGGUGAAAUGCGUAGAGAUGUGGAGGAACACCAGUGGCGAAGGCGACUUUCUGGGGCUGUAAACUGACGCUGAGGCGCGAAAAGCGUGGGGGAGCAAAACAGG